rnacentral:lncRNA from 1 species
AGUUGGAAUUCACCAUGAACUGCAUCUCGAGGAUCAAGUUUAGGCUCCCCAGUCCAUUGUGACAUCCAGCAAAGUGGAGGUCUCACUCUGUCACCCAAGUUGGAAUGCAGCAGCAUGAUCACAGCUCAUUGCAGCCUUGACUUCCCAGUCUCAAGCAAUCCUCCCAUCUCAGCCUCUUGAGUAGCUGGGACCACAGGCACACACCACCAUUUAGCCAGGCGUGGUGGUGUGUGCCUGUGGUCCCAGCUACAGUGUCUCUCUAUAUUGUCCAGCCUUGUCUCGAACUCCUGGGCUCAAGUAAUCUUCUGUCUCAACAUCCCAAAGUAAUUUCCCAAAAAAGGCUGCCAGAAGACCUGCUGUUUUUCUUUGACCACUUCGGAAAAGUCGGUGGGGUUGUCGACGUGGAGCAGAGCCUCCUCCUCUACUGCUACCACCAGCACACGACCACACACUCUGUCUUGGAGGCCACCAUCUGGCCUUGCUGCUCCCACUUUCUCGUCCUCACGCACUGGGUGAUCUUCACCAUCGGGAACUGGGGGCAAGCAGGGGUGCAGGCUGGAUUGCAGCGUAAGGUUGGUCUGUUUUGUGACAUUGAUGAGAACAAGCUCACGGGCCUCUACUGCUAGGGGAAUCUCAGGAAAAGCCCAGGGUUCCAAUCUACCCACUGCCCUUCAUCAUCUGUGUGAAGCUGGGCUUCACAUAUGCAGGGGGCCAGAAGGUCGACCAGAAGGGUGAGUUUGAGGAUAACCCGAGGCCUCCUGAACCUGCAGGAGGACUGGGACUUCCUUCCCUUCCUCUGAGAAACCUGCAGCAGCCACUGUCAGGCAACAGUCGUGACAACUUGCAGCUGUUGUCUGCUGCUGCAUCUCCGGGCUUUUGAGACCUUCCAGGCAUGAUUUGUCCCUUUACAACAUUCACCUUUUGUGUUAAGUGCUCAGUUCAGCCCCUUGGACCUGGAGGAUAUGACAGUAGCUAUCUUGUAUGUGUAGUCCCGCAGGAGAGGAGCCUGUCCCACCAGUGUGGCAAUAGCCAUCAGGGUCUCACUGUGGACCAAAACUGUCCCUGGACACAGGCUGCCUGGUCCUUUUGGACCCCAGGCCUUGGCUAUGGGCUCAGGACCUCCUUGUAUGUGACUUUGGCCAGUCAAGGGGACUCUGUGCUAGUCUUUUUCAUCUAAAAUGGGAAGCAAGAAGGAGGGUUUUUGCUUGUUUGUUUGUUUUGUUGUUUUGAGAUGGAAUUUUGCUCUUGUUGCCCAGGCUGGAGUGCAAUGGCACAAUCUCGGCUCACCGCAACCUCCACCUCCUGGGUUCAAGCGAUUCUCCCGCUUCAACCUCCCGAGUAGCUGAGAUUACAGGCAUGCGCCACCACGCCUGGCUAAUUUUGUAUUUUUAGUAGAGAUGGGGUUUCACUAUAUUGGCCAGGCUGGUCUGGUCUCGAACUCCUGACCUCAUGAUCUGCCAGCCUCGGCCUCCCAAAGUGCUGGGAUUACAGGUGUGAGCCACCACACCUGGCUGAGGGAGGCAUGUUUUAAGGCUUGAAUGAAAUAGAAGUUAAUCUGCAAAGUUAAAAAACUAAAAAUCCAUAAUGUAUUUUGAUAAAAAUUUACUUCCUAGCUUUUUUUUUUUUUUUCUUGAGACUAGGUCUCACCGUAUCACCCAGGCUGGAGUGAUGGGAUCAUGGCUCACUGCAGACCUCAAACUCCUGGGCUCAAGGAAUCCUUCUACCUUAGCCUCCUGAGUAGCAGUGUCAACAGGCAUGUACCACCACCUCCGGCUAAGUUGUUUUAUUCUUUUUUAGAUACAAACUCUCCCUUUGUUGCUCAGUCUGGUCUCGAACUCCUGGCUUCAAGCAAUCCUUCUGCCUCAGUCUCCCCAAUUGCUAGGAUUACAGGCUUGAGCCAUCUCACCGGCCCUAACCUUUUUAAAAAAUGUGUUUUUGGGAAACUUUUCACCCAUUGAAAAUCAGCAAUCUUCAUUUUUUGUUUUCUGAAAGAACACCUUUAUGAAUAUUUUUAUGGGUUGUCAAACAAAUAUACUUAGUAGACUAAUUUAUGGCAGAAUUCGAGAAACAGGGCAGCCCAAGCUAUGAAAUUGCACCCUGUGUUAUUUGGGAGGCUUGUGUGCUUGAGUUGCCAAACUAAGCUGCACAACUGUUCUAAGCUCUUGACUGCAUUGGCUUUUGCGUGACCAUUUUCCUUCUUGCUCCACGUUGAUUUUAGACAUCUUUGAAAAAUUAUCAUUUUCAGAUGUUUGGACAAAGAGGAAAAUUGUUGCCUUGGCUCCAAUAUCAAUUCCUUUCAUAACACUAAAUAUGCCAUUGCUACUAGAGUUUUGGUUCUCCGUUUCUCCCUGAGGACAUUGGUAUUAAGAAGAGAUUUGGCUCAAGCUACCUGAUCAUACCUAUCUUGUAUAUAGUUGCUAAUACAAUAUGAUUAGCAAGACUUGGGUAUAAUGUUACAGUGGUGUGGUAACAGAAUUCUGAUUUAUUCUACAGGCCCUUUGGCCAUUUUGUUAUUUUCCCCAUUCACGUCUAUUUUUUGUAUUUCUAAGAAAAAGAAUGUUACGGUUAGGUUAUAACUAUGUGGCACCACCACAAUUAUCAUUUUCUAUUCAAUUUAAAAUUUUGACUGUCAUAAAAUGCAAGCUUUACUGAAUUAGAAUCAUUCUGGAUUGUCUUGUUCCUUAGGACAACGUAAUAGCCAGACCUACAAGUUCUGAGUCUGGUUAUUAAUGUAAUUCAACCAGUCAGGCAGUGAUCCAGUCCAUUGUUCAGCCACUGAACCCCAACAAAAAGCUAAUUUCAUCAGUUAUAUCAAUCUUGUCUAAAGAUUUAUAACUUGAGUAGCAUUAUUUCAGCAGACUCAUUUUCCAUAGGGCAUCUGGAAAAUGAAGAUACUAUAGAAAACGAAAAUAAAAGUAGGGAAAAGAAGGAUGAUCAUUAGAUGUGUUCACCAUGUUUCCUUCCAGUUCUGUUUUUAUCAUAUGACUACACAAUUUGUUCAAGUCCAGAUAAAUUAUUGCUUCCCACAGGUCAUCAUUCCUUCCACUCAUGUCAAAACUAUUCAUCAUCAUCUCCAAAGUGUGUUUUGACUUAUGCUGUGCUUUGUAAAGGAUACACCCAAGGUUGGAGGUGAAAUAUGUGUCAGAGACUAGGAGUACAAAAAUUAGAUGUUUGGCUUUGUUCAUGGAUACUCCCCAAGUUUGAUCAUGUACUUUCAUGCUUCUGACCAUAUGCAGUCUGUUCCUUUUGUAUAAAACACCCAAUGAUUCCCUUGCACAGCUGGUUAAUUUUUCAAAGUCCUUUGAGAAGCAAACCAGUGUCACUUCUUCCAGAAUGUCUUUCUUGACUUUAACCCACUGGUAAUAAUUUAUUCAAUAACAACUCUCAUUUUUUUAGCAAUUUCCAUGGGCCAGAAAAUGUACUGUUUUGAAGUUAUUAUCCUUCCUGACUAUCCCUAAAUCAGUAUUUAAUUAUCACAACUACAUUAGGAAGCAGAUACUACCCCAACUUCCCAAAGAGGAAACUGCUGUUUAAAGAGAUUAAGUAACUUUCUUAAGGCCACACAGCCAGUACAUGGUAGAGGCAAGAUUUGAACCUGACUUCUGUAGUCUAUGUUCUAAGCCACUAGAGCAUAUGGUUUGGCUCUGUAUCCCCACCCAAAUCUCAUCUCAAAUUGUAAUCCCCACUUGUCAAGAAAGGGAGGUGAUUGGAUUGUGGGGGUGGUUUCUCGCAUGUUGUUCUCAUGAUAGUGAGUGAAUUCUCAAGAGAUCUGGUUGUUUGAUAAGUGUGAGGCUCUUCUUCCUUCGUGCACUGGCUCUCUCUCUCUCUCUAUCUCACCUGCCGACAAAUAAAACAUGCCUGCUUCCCCUUCCACCUUGAUUGUAAGUUUCCUGAGGCCUCCCCAGCCAUGCAGAACUGAGUCAAUUAAACCUCUUUUCUUUAUAAAUUACCCAGUCUCAGGGAAGUUCUUUAUAUCCGUGUGAAAACAGACUAAUACAAGUAUUGUUUCCCAAAGAGCAGCACGUGAACCACUGCAGCUAUGAGAUAAUUUUCAAUGGACAUGUUUACAUGAAUAAUUUUCUAUUAUUUCUUCUUUUUUUUGCAAAACAUUCAGAAAAUAAGAAAACAAAUAAAUUCUCAGCAUUUUGCCGAAUUUUCUUUGUAUUUUUAUUUUGAAGAAAAUAAACAUUACAUAUAGAGUUAGAGACCUCUUUGUGGCUCUCCGAGAUCUCAUUCCUUUCCAAUCCUCCUCAGAGGUAAUCAUUAUCCUAAAUUUAGUGUUUAUCAUUCCACUUCAAGUUUUUAAAUGACUACUAAGUACGUAUUUAUCAAUAUACAAUAUGUAGUAUUGUUUUACUUGUCUUCAAACUUUAUGUAAAUAUCAUACCACAUGUGUUAUUCUGCAGCUUGUUUCAUUCACUCAACAUUUAGUUAUCGAUAUUUAUUUAUUUGAUACACUUGGCCUCUGUUCAUGCAUUUCAAAUGCUGAACAUCAUUUCAUUGCAUCAAAAUGUCACUAGUUUAUUUAUACAUUCUCCUUUUGACUGACAUAUAUAUUACUUCCAAUGUUUGAUAUUAUAAAUAAUGCUGCACUUAGCAUUCUGUUGCAUGUCUUCUUGUGCACAUGUGCUAGAUUUCUUCCAGGUACAAAGAAGCAGAAUUGUAGAUAUACAUUAUAUGUAUCUUCAACCUUACAAAAUAUUACCAAAUUGCUCUCUGAAUGUGUCAAUUUCCAUUCCCACCAGCAGUUUAUGAGAAUUCCCUUUUCUCAAAAUCUUUAACCAACUUCUUAAGUUUUCCAGUCUUCUGAGUGGGAAAUGUUAUUUUGUAGUUUUAAAUUUGCAUUUCCUGAUAUUAGUGAUGUUAAAGGGGUUUAUUAGAAUAACGCCAUGAAAGGGGUUUAUUGGCCAUUUGGAUUUCUUCUUUUGUGAAUUGCUCAUUAUCCCUAUGAAAAUUAUUUAUUUUUAAAAUUUAUAUAGAGUAAAAUUCACUAUUUUUGGUACAUGCUAUGAGUAUUUGACCAAUGCAUAGAGUUGUGUAAUUAUCACCACAGACAAGAUAUAUGAAAUAAUAUCCCUUUGUAGUCAACUCCUUUCUUUAUGCACAAUCCCUGGAAACUGCUGAUUUCUUCUCCAUCCCAAUGGUUUUGUCUUAUCCAAAAUGUCAUAUAAAUGGAUUACACAGCAUGUAGAUUUUGGGUAUCUGGUUUCUUUCACUUAGCAUAAUGUGUUUACGAUUCCUCCAUGUUGUUAUGUAUUUCAAUAGAUUGUUCUUUGUUGCUGAGUGGAAUUCCAUUGUAUGGAUGUACUACCAUGUAUUUGUUAAUUUACCAGUUGAAGGGGUAUUUUAGAUUAUGAAUAAAGUUGCUAUGAAAUUUUGCAUAUAAGUUUUUGUGAGGCAUAUGUUUUCAUUUCUCAUGGGACUGCUGGGUCUGAGACUAGGUAAUUUAUAAAGAAAAGAAUUUUAUUUAGCUUGUUGUUCUGCAUGCCAGGAAAUUCGAGGACACGACCUUGGCUUCUGGCCAAGGCUACAUGUUGCAUCAUAACAUAGCAGAGAAGGUCAAGGGGAAGUGGACACAUGCAAAGAGACAAAACCAACAGGCAUCCUGGCUUUAUAACAACCCACUCUCCUUGGAAUUAAUCCAUUCCUGGAUAAUUAAUCUAGUCUUGUGAGAGCAAUAACUCAUCCAUUACCUCUAGAAGGGCACCAAGCCAUUCAUAAUGGCUCUGCCCCCACGAACCAAAUGCCUCCCACUAAGCCCCAUCUACCAACACUGCCACAUUCGGGAUAAAAUUUCAGUAUGAAUUUUGGUGAGGACAAACAAACCAUAUCCGAUCCAUAGAAGCUUGUGUAAAUAAUGAUACGUAGUUUUCCUUUAAUCUGUUAAUAUCGUAAUUUAUAUAAUUAGAUUUCCCAAUUUUGACCCAUUCUUUCAUUCUUGUGGAAAAUGCUACCAUGUUGAAUUAUAUCAGGUUUUUAUACACUGUUCAACUUCAUAUUCUUGUAUUCUUUUUUUUUUUUUUUUUUUGAGACAGAAACUCACUCUGUCUCCCAGGCUGGAGUGCAGUGGCUCAAACAAGGCUCACUGCAGCCUCGACUUCCAGGGCUCAGGUGAUUCUCCCACCUCAGCCUCCUGAGUAGCUCGGACUACAGGUGUGUGUCACCAUGCCUGGCUAAUUUUCAUAUUUUUUUGUGGGGAUAGGGUUUCACUGUGUUGCUCAGGCUUGUCUUGAACUCCUAGGCUCAAGUAAUCCGCCCACCUCAGUCUCCCACAUUGCUAGGAUUACAGGUGUGAGCCACCACACCUGGCUGAUAUUCUUGUGUUCUGUUUAGGAUACUUUGCACUCAUGUGCAUAUGAGAAUUUGGUCUUAUACUGUAUAUAUUUCUUAUACCAAAAUCAUCUGGAUUCGGUAUCCAAGUCGUAUAUAGGCCUCAGGGCAUGAGCUGGGUACCCCCUCUCUUUCUAGUUUCUAAAUUAGGUUCUAUGAAUAGUAACUAUCUCUGCCUGAUGGUUUUAGUAAAACUUGCAUGUAUAUCUGCAAGGCCCUGGUAUCUGUUUUGAGUAUGGUAAGGGAGAAGACUUGUUCACAUACUCAGUUUAAUGAUUACCAGUUUAUUUAGGUUUUUUGUUUCUUCUUAAUCAGCUUGGUUUAAUAAUUAAUUAAUUAAUUUUAAUCUUCACAACCUACUCCCAUUUUUGUCUUCAACCUAUAAAUAAUUAUUUAAAUGACAUUUUAUUUAACAUUGAAUAUGUGUUUGAUAUGUAUUCUUGUUUGUGUUACUGCCAAAUAUGUGGAGAUUUUUAUACACAUGGGUUUUAAUUUAGGAAAAUGGUAUUCUGUUACACAUUGUAUCUCAUUCUGUGCCCUACUUUUCUACUCAGCAGUAUGUUUUAAAGAUCUAUUUAAGGUGUGGUAAGUGAUUCUAAUGCAUUGCUUCUAACUGCUGCAUUAGAACUUCAUGAAACAUUUGUGUGUACCAUAUUUUACCUGUCCACUUUUCUAAUGAGGAACUUUCUGGUUACCUUCAUCUUCCUGAUGCCAUAAACAAUUCUGACGUGAAUGUUUUGUCUGUGUCUUCUUAUUGGCCUUUGUGAGAAUCUUUGGUUUCUAUCCUUAGUGAAACUGUUGGCCAUAUUGGUAAUUUGACUGUGUACAGAUCAGUUGCUGUCUGUAAUGGCUGCAACAGUCUACACUCCUGCCAACAGAACAGAACCUUUGUUCUAUUACCACAUGCCUACAUUUGUCGUUUUAUAGCUUUUAGAAUUUUGCCAGUCUAAUAAGUGUAAAAUGAUAUGCACACUGUUUUAAUUUUCAUAUAUCUGAUUUUCAGUGAUUUUGAACACCUUAUCAUAUUUCUGCUACCUUUUUGAGUUUAUUCUCUAAAUCGCUUGUUCAUAUUCUCUAUCCAUUUUUCUAUUGGGUGUGCUAGUUUUAUCUUUCUGAUUUGCAAAAUACCCUUGUAUAUUCUAGAUAUUAACUCCUUGUUUGUUUUUUGUUUUUUGAAAUUUCAAAAUUCUUAUCAGCUUCCAUAAUUCUAUCAUGUAAUAAUUUUGUCAGAGAUGUCCUUAGUUUAACAGAACUUUGAUAUUUUGAAGUUACCAACAUAAUCAAUGUUUUCUUUUGCAUUUGUGCAGUUAGUUAAGGUCCUGAUUACAUUUUUCUCCAUACAGUGAGCUGGUUUAUCAAUCUUUUUCUUCCUUUGAUUUGUUUUGCUAUUAUGUUCCAUUUGUUCUAUUUAUUAUUAUUAUUUAGAGACAAGGUCUCUCUAUUUUGCCCAAACUGGAUUUGAACUCCUGGGUCAAACAGUCCUCCCACCUCAGCCUCUCAAGUAUCUGGGACUACAGACACAUGCCACUAUGCAGGGCUAGUCUAUUAUUCUUGAGGUAACUCCAUCAUUGCCUUUAUAGGGUUAACUUAGCUAUUCAUAGACCUUUAUUCAUCGAUAUAAAUUUUAGGCCAGCCACGGUGGCUCAUACCUGUAACCCUAGCACUUUGGGAGGCUGAGACAGGUGGAUCACCUGGGGUCAGGAAUCCGAGACCAGCCUGACCAACAUGGUGAAACCCCAUCUCUGCUAAAUACAAAAAGUUAGCUGGGCGUGGUGGCACAUGCCUGUAAUCCCAGCUACUUGGGAGGCUAAGGCAGGAGAAUAGCUUGAACCUGGGAGGUGGAGGUUGCAGUGAGCCGAGGUCGUGCCACUGCACUCCAGCCUGGGCAACAAGAUUGAAACUCCAUCUCAAAAAAAUAUAU